UACAGGGGGUGCAAACGUUGCUCGGAAUCAUUGGGCGUAAAGCGCACGUAGGCGGUUCGUUAUGUCGGAUGUGAAAGCCCUUGGCUUAACCGAGGAAGUGCAUCCGAAACUGGCGAGCUAGAGUACGAAAGAGGGAUCGCGGAAUUCCCGGUGUAGAGGUGAAAUUCGUAGAUAUCGGGAGGAACACCGGUGGCGAAGGCGGCGAUCUGGGUCGAUACUGACGCUGAGGAGCGAAAGCAUGGGUAGCGAACAGG
rnacentral:rRNA from 1 species